rnacentral:rRNA from 1 species
UUAAGCGACUAAGCGUACACGGUGGAUGCCCUGGCAGUCAGAGGCGAUGAAGGACGUGCUAAUCUGCGAUAAGCGUCGGUAAGGUGAUAUGAACCGUUAUAACCGGCGAUUUCCGAAUGGGGAAACCCAGUGUGAUUCGUCACACUAUCAUUAACUGAAUCCAUAGGUUAAUGAGGCGAACCGGGGGAACUGAAACAUCUAAGUACCCCGAGGAAAAGAAAUCAACCGAGAUUCCCCCAGUAGCGGCGAGCGAACGGGGAGCAGCCCAGAGCCUGAAUCAGUGUGUGUGUUAGUGGAAGCGUCUGGAAAGGCGCGCGAUACAGGGUGACAGCCCCGUACACAAAAAUGCACAUGCUGUGAGCUCGAUGAGUAGGGCGGGACACGUGGUAUCCUGUCUGAAUAUGGGGGGACCAUCCUCCAAGGCUAAAUACUCCUGACUGACCGAUAGUGAACCAGUACCGUGAGGGAAAGGCGAAAAGAACCCCGGCGAGGGGAGUGAAAAAGAACCUGAAACCGUGUACGUACAAGCAGUGGGAGCACGCUUAGGCGUGUGACUGCGUACCUUUUGUAUAAUGGGUCAGCGACUUAUAUUCUGUAGCAAGGUUAACCGAAUAGGGGAGCCGAAGGGAAACCGAGUCUUAACUGGGCGUUAAGUUGCAGGGUAUAGACCCGAAACCCGGUGAUCUAGCCAUGGGCAGGUUGAAGGUUGGGUAACACUAACUGGAGGACCGAACCGACUAAUGUUGAAAAAUUAGCGGAUGACUUGUGGCUGGGGGUGAAAGGCCAAUCAAACCGGGAGAUAGCUGGUUCUCCCCGAAAGCUAUUUAGGUAGCGCCUCGUGAAUUCAUCUCCGGGGGUAGAGCACUGUUUCGGCAAGGGGGUCAUCCCGACUUACCAACCCGAUGCAAACUGCGAAUACCGGAGAAUGUUAUCACGGGAGACACACGGCGGGUGCUAACGUCCGUCGUGAAGAGGGAAACAACCCAGACCGCCAGCUAAGGUCCCAAAGUCAUGGUUAAGUGGGAAACGAUGUGGGAAGGCCCAGACAGCCAGGAUGUUGGCUUAGAAGCAGCCAUCAUUUAAAGAAAGCGUAAUAGCUCACUGGUCGAGUCGGCCUGCGCGGAAGAUGUAACGGGGCUAAACCAUGCACCGAAGCUGCGGCAGCGACGCUGAUGCGUUGUUGGGUAGGGGAGCGUUCUGUAAGCCUGUGAAGGUGUACUGUGAGGUAUGCUGGAGGUAUCAGAAGUGCGAAUGCUGACAUAAGUAACGAUAAAGCGGGUGAAAAGCCCGCUCGCCGGAAGACCAAGGGUUCCUGUCCAACGUUAAUCGGGGCAGGGUGAGUCGACCCCUAAGGCGAGGCCGAAAGGCGUAGUCGAUGGGAAACAGGUUAAUAUUCCUGUACUUGGUGUUACUGCGAAGGGGGGACGGAGAAGGCUAUGUUGGCCGGGCGACGGUUGUCCCGGUUUAAGCGUGUAGGCUGGUUUUCCAGGCAAAUCCGGAAAAUCAAGGCUGAGGCGUGAUGACGAGGCACUACGGUGCUGAAGCAACAAAUGCCCUGCUUCCAGGAAAAGCCUCUAAGCAUCAGGUAACAUCAAAUCGUACCCCAAACCGACACAGGUGGUCAGGUAGAGAAUACCAAGGCGCUUGAGAGAACUCGGGUGAAGGAACUAGGCAAAAUGGUGCCGUAACUUCGGGAGAAGGCACGCUGAUAUGUAGGUGAAGCGACUUGCUCGUGGAGCUGAAAUCAGUCGAAGAUACCAGCUGGCUGCAACUGUUUAUUAAAAACACAGCACUGUGCAAACACGAAAGUGGACGUAUACGGUGUGACGCCUGCCCGGUGCCGGAAGGUUAAUUGAUGGGGUCAGCGCAAGCGAAGCUCUUGAUCGAAGCCCCGGUAAACGGCGGCCGUAACUAUAACGGUCCUAAGGUAGCGAAAUUCCUUGUCGGGUAAGUUCCGACCUGCACGAAUGGCGUAAUGAUGGCCAGGCUGUCUCCACCCGAGACUCAGUGAAAUUGAACUCGCUGUGAAGAUGCAGUGUACCCGCGGCAAGACGGAAAGACCCCGUGAACCUUUACUAUAGCUUGACACUGAACAUUGAGCCUUGAUGUGUAGGAUAGGUGGGAGGCUUUGAAGUGUGGACGCCAGUCUGCAUGGAGCCGACCUUGAAAUACCACCCUUUAAUGUUUGAUGUUCUAACGUUGACCCGUGAUCCGGGUUGCGGACAGUGUCUGGUGGGUAGUUUGACUGGGGCGGUCUCCUCCUAAAGAGUAACGGAGGAGCACGAAGGUUGGCUAAUCCUGGUCGGACAUCAGGAGGUUAGUGCAAUGGCAUAAGCCAGCUUGACUGCGAGCGUGACGGCGCGAGCAGGUGCGAAAGCAGGUCAUAGUGAUCCGGUGGUUCUGAAUGGAAGGGCCAUCGCUCAACGGAUAAAAGGUACUCCGGGGAUAACAGGCUGAUACCGCCCAAGAGUUCAUAUCGACGGCGGUGUUUGGCACCUCGAUGUCGGCUCAUCACAUCCUGGGGCUGAAGUAGGUCCCAAGGGUAUGGCUGUUCGCCAUUUAAAGUGGUACGCGAGCUGGGUUUAGAACGUCGUGAGACAGUUCGGUCCCUAUCUGCCGUGGGCGCUGGAGAACUGAGGGGGGCUGCUCCUAGUACGAGAGGACCGGAGUGGACGCAUCACUGGUGUUCGGGUUGUCAUGCCAAUGGCACUGCCCGGUAGCUAAAUGCGGAAGAGAUAAGUGCUGAAAGCAUCUAAGCACGAAACUUGCCCCGAGAUGAGUUCUCCCUGACCCUUUAAGGGUCCUGAAGGAACGUUGAAGACGACGACGUUGAUAGGCCGGGUGUGUAAGCGCAGCGAUGCGUUGAGCUAACCGGUACUAAUGAACCGUGAGGCUUAACCU